rnacentral:lncRNA from 1 species
AGGGUAUUCUGAUUUGAAGUGGCCAGGCUUCUUUCACUCAUAGUAAAUUAUGGGCUGCUCCUUUUCUUUCUUUUUACUUGGCUCCUCCUUAGCUGGUGGCCUUCUCUUGGUCCCUUAUCUUUUCCUUCUCAUGAACCGUCUGAAUUUUUUAGUGAUCAGGGCCAAGUCCUCAUCUUCUUCACUAUUGUCUAAUUUUUCUAAGUCAUCCUCUUUUCGAGCUGUUGACUUAAGGACUAUGGUC